UGCAAGUCGAGCGGACAGAUGGGAGCUUGCUCCCUGAUGUUAGCGGCGGACGGGUGAGUAACACGUGGGUAACCUGCCUGUAAGACUGGGAUAACUCCGGGAAACCGGGGCUAAUACCGGAUGGUUGUUUGAACCGCAUGGUUCAAACAUAAAAGGUGGCUUCGGCUACCACUUACAGAUGGACCCGCGGCGCAUUAGCUAGUUGGUGAGGUAACGGCUCACCAAGGCGACGAUGCGUAGCCGACCUGAGAGGGUGAUCGGCACACACUGGGACUGAGAACCCACGGCCCAGACUCCUACGGGAGGCAGCAGUAGGGAAUCUUCCGCAAUGGACGAAAGUCUGACGGAGCAACGCCGCGUGAGUGAUGAAGGUUUUCGGAUCGUAAAGCUCUGUUGUUAGGGAAGAACAAGUACCGUUCGAAUAGGGCGGUACCUUGACGGUACCUAACCAGAAAGCCACGGCUAACUACGUGCCAGCAGCCGCGGUAAUACGUAGGUGGCAAGCGUUGUCCGGAAUUAUUGGGCGUAAAGGGCUCGCAGGCGGUUUCUUAAGUCUGAUGUGAAAGCCCCCGGCUCAACCGGGGAGGGUCAUUGGAAACUGGGGAACUUGAGUGCAGAAGAGGAGAGUGGAAUUCCACGUGUAGCGGUGAAAUGCGUAGAGAUGUGGAGGAACACCAGUGGCGAAGGCGACUCUCUGGUCUGUAACUGACGCUGAGGAGCGAAAGCGUGGGGAGCGAACAGGAUUAGAUACCCUGGUAGUCCACGCCGUAAACGAUGAGUGCUAAGUGUUAGGGGGUUUCCGCCCCUUAGUGCUGCAGCUAACGCAUUAAGCACUCCGCCUGGGGAGUACGGUCGCAAGACUGAAACUCAAAGGAAUUGACGGGGGCCCGCACAAGCGGUGGAGCAUGUGGUUUAAUUCGAAGCAACGCGAAGAACCUUACCAGGUCUUGACAUCCUCUGACAAUCCUAGAGAUAGGACGUCCCCUUCGGGGGCAGAGUGACAGGUGGUGCAUGGUUGUCGUCAGCUCGUGUCGUGAGAUGUUGGGUUAAGUCCCGCAACGAGCGCAACCCUUGAUCUUAGUUGCCAGCAUUCAGUUGGGCACUCUAAGGUGACUGCCGGUGACAAACCGGAGGAAGGUGGGGAUGACGUCAAAUCAUCAUGCCCCUUAUGACCUGGGCUACACACGUGCUACAAUGGACAGAACAAAGGGCAGCGAAACCGCGAGGUUAAGCCAAUCCCACAAAUCUGUUCUCAGUUCGGAUCGCAGUCUGCAACUCGACUGCGUGAAGCUGGAAUCGCUAGUAAUCGCGGAUCAGCAUGCCGCGGUGAAUACGUUCCCGGGCCUUGUACACACCGCCCGUCACACCACGAGAGUUUGUAACACCCGAAGUCGGUGAGGUAACCUUUAGGAGCCAGCCGCCGAAGGU
rnacentral:rRNA from 1 species